UACGGGGGGGGCAAGCGUUGUUCGGAAUUACUGGGCGUAAAGGGCUCGUAGGCGGCCAACUAAGUCAGACGUGAAAUCCCUCGGCUUAACUGAGGAACUGCACGGGAUACUGGAUGACUUGAGUUCGGGAGAGGGAAGCGGAAUUCCGGGUGUAGCGGUGAAAUGCGUAGAUAUCCGGAGGAACACCGGUGGCGAAGGCGGCUUCCUGGACCGACACUGACGCUGAGUCGCGAAAGCUAGGGGAGCAAACUGG
rnacentral:rRNA from 1 species